rnacentral:rRNA from 1 species
CCUACGGGCGGCAGCAGUGGGGAAUAUUGGGCAAUGGGCGCAAGCCUGACCCAGCAACGCCGCGUGAAGGAAGAAGGCUUUCGGGUUGUAAACUUCUUUUCUCAGGGACGAAGCAAGUGACGGUACCUGAGGAAUAAGCCACGGCUAACUACGUGCCAGCAGCCGCGGUAAUACGUAGGUGGCAAGCGUUAUCCGGAUUUACUGGGUGUAAAGGGCGUGUAGGCGGGAAAGCAAGUCAGAUGUGAAAACCAUGGGCUCAACCUGUGGCCUGCAUUUGAAACUGUUUUUGUUGAGUACUGGGGAGGCAGACGGAAUUCCUAGUGUAGCGGUGAAAUGCGUAGAUAUUAGGAGGAACACCAGUGGCGAAGACGGUCUGCUGGACAGCAACUGACGCUGAGGCGCGAAAGCGUGGGGAGCAAACAGGAUUAGAUACCCGAGUAGUC